rnacentral:rRNA from 1 species
CAGCGCCACAAGUGGCAAUCACGUUUAUUGGGCCUAAAGCGUCCGUAGCCGGUUUAGCAAAUCUUUUGUGAAAUCGUCAGGCUUAACUUGACGAAUUGCAGAAGACACUUCUAAACUAGGGACUGGGAGGAGUCAGAAGUAUUCUGGGGGGACCGGUAAAAUGGUAUAAUCCCCAGAGGACUACCGAUGGCGAAGGCAUCUGACCAGAACAGGUCCGACGGUGAGGGACGAAAGCCAGGGGAGCAAACCGGAUUAGAUACCCGAGUAGUCC